rnacentral:rRNA from 1 species
CUACGUGCCAGCAGCCGCGGUAAUACGUAGGGUGCGAGCGUUAAUCGGAAUUACUGGGCAUAAAGCGUGCGCAGGCGGUUUGUUAAGACCGAUGUGAAAUCCCCGGGCUCAACCUGGGAACUGCAUUGGUGACUGGCAAGCUAGAGUAUGGCAGAGGGGGGUAGAAUUCCACGUGUAGCAGUGAAAUGCGUAGAGAUGUGGAGGAAUACCGAUGGCGAAGGCAGCCCCCUGGGCCAAUACUGACGCUCAUGCACGAAAGCGUGGGGAGCAAACAGGAUUAGAUACCCUGGUAGUCCACGCCCUAAACGAUGUCAACUAGUUGUUGGGGAUUCAUUUCCUUAGUAACGUAGCUAACGCGUGAAGUUGACCGCCAGGGGAGUACGGUCGCAAGAUUAAAACUCAAAGGAAUUGACGGGGACCCGCACAAGCGGUGGAUGAUGUGGAUUAAUUCGAUGCAACGCGAAAAACCUUACCUACCCUUGACA